rnacentral:rRNA from 1 species
GCAAGUCGAGCGGNAGAGAGGUAGCUUGCUACCGAUCUUAGCGGCGGACGGGUGAGUAAUGCUUAGGAAUCUGCCUAUUAGUGGGGGACAACAUUUCGAAAGGAAUGCUAAUACCGCAUACGUCCUACGGGAGAAAGCAGGGGAUCUUCGGACCUUGCGCUAAUAGAUGAGCCUAAGUCGGAUUAGCUAGUUGGUGGGGUAAAGGCCUACCAAGGCGACGAUCUGUAGCGGGUCUGAGAGGAUGAUCCGCCACACUGGGACUGAGACACGGCCCAGACUCCUACGGGAGGCAGCAGUGGGGAAUAUUGGACAAUGGGCGCAAGCCUGAUCCAGCCAUGCCGCGUGUGUGAAGAAGGCCUUAUGGUUGUAAAGCACUUUAAGCGAGGAGGAGGCUACUUUAGUUAAUACCUAGAGAUAGUGGACGUUACUCGCAGAAUAAGCACCGGCUAACUCUGUGCCAGCAGCCGCGGUAAUACAGAGGGUGCAAGCGUUAAUCGGAUUUACUGGGCGUAAAGCGCGCGUAGGCGGCUAAUUAAGUCAAAUGUGAAAUCCCCGAGCUUAACUUGGGAAUUGCAUUCGAUACUGGUUAGCUAGAGUGUGGGAGAGGAUGGUAGAAUUCCAGGUGUAGCGGUGAAAUGCGUAGAGAUCUGGAGGAAUACCGAUGGCGAAGGCAGCCAUCUGGCCUAACACUNACGCU